rnacentral:rRNA from 1 species
AGUGAACGCUGGCGGUAGGCCUAACACAUGCAAGUCGAACGGCAGCACAGUAAGAGCUUGCUCUUACGGGUGGCGAGUGGCGGACGGGUGAGGAAUACAUCGGAAUCUACUUUUUCGUGGGGGGUAACGUAGGGAAACUUACGCUAAUACCGCAUACGACCUACGGGUGAAAGCAGGGGAUCUUCGGACCUUGCGCGAUUGAAUGAGCCGAUGUCGGAUUAGCUAGUUGGCGGGGUAAAGGCCCACCAAGGCGACGAUCCGUAGCUGGUCUGAGAGGAUGAUCAGCCACACUGGAACUGAGACACGGUCCAGACUCCUAUGGGAGGCAGCAGUGGGGAAUAUUGGACAAUGGGCGCAAGCCUGAUCCAGCCGUACCGCGUGGGUGAAGAAGGCCUUCGGGUUGUAAAGCCCUUUUGUUGGGAAAGAAAAGCAGCAGGUUAAUACCCCGCUGUUCUGACGGUACCCAAAGAAUAAGCACCGGCUAACUUCGUG